UAGGUCAAAGGUCAAGGUAAAAAAAACUUCGGUUUCAGUUCACAACCCUGUGUCCUGUGGUGAAGAUCGUGUCCGCUCUAUAUCUUGAGAACCGUUAUGAUUUCAAAUAUUAUACUUGACACGCAUUUUAACCAACACCAGAGGGUGUGUCAUAAUGUAUGUACAACUUCCUAGGUCAAAGGUCUGUCUGUCUGUUGGUCUGUCCAUCGCUAACAAAUUUGAUCCACACUAUAUUUUGAGAGGACAGCUGUUAUUAUUUCAUACUUUAUACCUGACAAACAUUUUCAACUUAACAUAUAUAUUAACCAACACCAG
rnacentral:lncRNA from 1 species